UACGAAGGGGGCUAGCGUUGCUCGGAAUCACUGGGCGUAAAGGGUGCGUAGGCGGGUCUUUAAGUCAGGGGUGAAAUCCUGGAGCUCAACUCCAGAACUGCCUUUGAUACUGAGGAUCUUGAGUUCGGGGAGAGGUGAGUGGAACUGCGAGUGUAGAGGUGAAAAUUCGUAGAUAUUCGCAAGAACACCAGUGGCGAAGGCGGCUCACUGGCCCGAUACUGACGCUGA
rnacentral:rRNA from 1 species